ensembl:miRNA
UCCAGUGUUCCGCAGGUUGAGGUAGUAGGUUGUAUAGUUCAGAGUGACACCACAGGAGAUAACUGUACAGCCUCCUAGCUUUCCCUGAGGAAACAC